rnacentral:rRNA from 1 species
UACGUAGGGUGCGAGCGUUAAUCGGAAUUACUGGGCGUAAAGCGUGCGCAGGCGGUUCUCCAAGUCCGUUGUGAAAGCCCCGGGCUCAACCUGGGAAUGGCAGUGGAAACUAGGGGACUGGAAUCUGGCAGAGGGGGGUGGAAUUCCGCGUGUAGCAGUGAAAUGCGUAGAGAUGCGGAGGAACACCGAUGGCGAAGGCAGCCCCCUGGGCUGACACUGACGCUCAGGCACGAAAGCGUGGGGAGCAAACAGG